AAGUAAUCCUCGUGUGUGACAGAGAGAGAGAGAGAGAGAGAGAGAGAGAGAGAGAGAGAGAAACGAGCUGGCGGAGAGGAGCAGAAGGCAGGAGGGGAAAUCUGGCACAACGGCUGGGAGAGGAAACUUGAUGCUUCUGGGCCACCAUUUGCCAGGGCCUCGCUCGAGACGCCGAAAGAAGCCUGUUUGUGUGCUGCGGCCGUGCUGUGACUCUGGAUCUUGUCUUUCAGCCGGCGCCUCGGUUCCUGCCCAGCUGGAUUUGGGGGGCAGCAUUGCCUGGCGCAGGGAGAUCAAAUGAGACUGCAAAGAACAUAAAAUGAAUAGACAAUCCAACCAACCAAAGACCGGGGGCAGCAGCAGGCCAGCAAGACGGCAUCUUCUCCUUCCCAGCCUAGAAGCCCUGUGAAAUCGAGGAUCUUCCCCCUAAAACACAUACACACAAGAUAUGUGCAAUCAAGCUGCCACCGCUUGGUAAAAAGCUCAUGGUGCCUAACCAAAAAGGAUCAGGAACAGAUCCUUGAAUCAGCUGUCACUUCUAUAGAAUGGGAUUUUUUUUCCUUCCUCCUUAACCUGCGCUGGAAA
rnacentral:lncRNA from 1 species